GAUUUGUUUUCGCCAAAGGGGAGGGUCCGAAGGGGCAUCCCUCUGAAGUCUCUCUUGCUCCAUAUAUGGCCAAUCUACGUGGGCUGCUAUUUUUAUGAGUGAUUUCUUCUUUCUGUUUAUUAGAACAGCCCCUUAGGUUUGAGAAUUACAUUAAUCUGAUUGUUUCCUUCAGAAAACACAAUUAUUUUACAAUACGUCAGAGGAACAAUAAGGAACCAAAUUGGGUUUAUUUUGGAAGGAGGAGACGUGGGUAUGGUUGUUUUUACAAUAUAAACUAGGCUUACUGAUUGAUAAUGAUAGAAUCUGGUCGCACCGUUUUACUUAAAGUUUGCUAGAGGACCUAGAAAGAAAUGCAUCUUCUGGGAUUAAAAUUUCUUUCCCUCCUUUUUGUCCUUCUUUCUUGCUAUCCCUACACACCCACUUCUACCCCUUCCCUCUCAUUGUGCCCACCCCCAGAGAAGAAGCAAGAAUAUUUCGGCUUGUUGCUUUCGUAAAAGCCAGUUCCUGGUUUACUAUAUAUUUCAGUAUGUAUAUAUAUGGUUUAUAGAACAAUCCAGACUUCCGGAGGAAGAAGGUCGGUAGGGUAGGGAGGUGCUUAGGCGGAUUGGAUGUGAAAAAAUCCUAGUGGUUCAUUCAUUUCUCAAACCAAGAUACUUUGGUUAUCAUUUGUAGCUGGUAAAGGGCACUUCCCUUGCCCGAAUAUUGUUUUAGAAUAAGAAAGUGUUAAUCCAUCUACUUUUAUACUUGUGAAAAACAAACACUAAGUGUCUAGUUGUGGCAAAGCAGCCCACAGCUGGCUGUAGGUUAUGUAAAUCGGCUUGGGGAGGGAGCAUCUCAUGACUGUUUCGCAGGUGUUUUGGAAGGUUAGCCCGGGUUUUCCGAGGAGGAUGGCUGAAGGAAGACUUUUGGAGGCAGUCACUUUUCCUGGACUUGUCCUGGGCUGGAGCAUUCUGCACUGGAGAGGCUUACUGGGUUGGUGGAUCUUGGACUGGGACUGCAACUUGGAGCUAUGACUUGGACCUGGAACUCUGGCUCCUGGACUACUUCUGGUAAGACUGCUCCUAGAUCUUCUCCUUUGGAACUUCAACUUAGAUGAGUAAAAAGCUGAUCCUCCUUUCCUGACUUCUGGAGAGAUUAGUUCCAAAGAGGCCUCCUCUUCUUGAACCCUUGUUUAAUUCACCACUGAGUCCUUAGGCUGAGGAACUAACAAGAGCCCUACCUGGGUGAGCCUGGGACUACUUUCACUCUUUCCACCUUUUUUGUAAAUAAAACUAUUGAAAGUCACUUUAACUUGAACUAU
rnacentral:lncRNA from 1 species